GGGGAGUCUGGCGGAGCCGGUGGGGGAGGGGCUGCCUCCCUCGGUCGGCAGACACCCGCUGUCGGCCAGUCAGGUCAUAUCUGACGACUUCUCA
rnacentral:tRNA from 1 species